rnacentral:pre_miRNA from 1 species
UCUUAUAGAUGAGCAAAGAAAGUAGAUUCUUGAGAUAGAAUCUGCUCUUGUUGAAAAGGCUAUGAA